AUCGUGACGUCAUGAAGUGAAUGUGCGUGCAUUUGAAUAACAAAAUAAACGGAGGUGUAUAGUGGAAAAGGAUUCGAUUCAUUUCAAACGUUCUCUCGUACAGGACACGUGUGUGACUGAAUGCAGGGGAAAGAGAAAUAGCCACACCGAGUGUUGGGCUUUUAAUUCACAGUCUUUCCACUGCACUUUGCACCAAGCGCACUUAUACUGAAGCGCACAUCAGUGAAUGUAAGGGAAUUCUGACUUCUUUGAUUCAAGUAGUCAACGCGUGCCGACUUAGCCCGGCUAUUUUAACACAUAUCAUUGAACGGGGAGUUCGAAGGCGUGGAUAUCUCACGUUCAUAGUUACCACACCCAACGACUGUGUUCAUUAUUACUACUAGUCAAAAGUCAGUCGAUUUGGUGAACAGGGUAUAGCAUUUUUACGCUAUACCACCAAAACAUAAACAAUUGGUUCCAUUCUAGAAAUGAGAUCGACAGAAAUGGCUUCACAUAAUAGCACUGGACUUAAUACUGAUUCUAAUAUUGCUCUUAGUCAAAGUAUGGAUUCAGUUAACACAACACCCGAAGAAGAGGUUAGGACGCUGUUUGUUAGUGGAUUACCAAUGGAUGCUAAACCCAGGGAAUUAUACUUAUUAUUCAGGGCAUAUAAAGGUUACGAAGGUUCAUUAUUGAAAGUUACCAGUAAAAAUGGAAAGAAUACCUCACCAGUAGGAUUUGUAACCUUUAUCUCAAGGUUAGCAGCUGAAACUGCCAAGCAGGAUUUACAGGGUGUACGAUUUGACCCAGACUUACCCCAGACAUUGAGGUUAGAGUUUGCUAAAAGCAAUACAAAAGUUACCAAACCCAAACAGCAGUCUCCUCAGCCUGCCGCUACACACCCGACAAUUAUCCAUCCUUUAACAGGGCAAGAGCUAUGUCCCGCCAUCUUCCCAAGCUGUCCGGAGGGCUGGACCCCCCACCCCCUGGCCACAUAUCCGGAGUUGACUCACACCGCUGCCCUGCAUCACACAGCACUGUUGCAGCACCCAGCCCUAACACAGCUCCCGGUACGGCGAGCAUGGGAUGGGCGUGUAGUAUCACCCAGCAAUCAAUUUGUGAUCCAACCCACGGCGCUUAUUGGCCCCCCAGCUACUAUGGGUAUCCCACACCCAUCAUACGCCACUACCCCCGUCUUAGCUAGUCCCACUACCAUGAAUGCAAUGACCACUACCACCAAUUUGAUGACCUCCCAUAAUAUGCCCUGCUCAACAUUAUUUGUUGCUAAUUUGGGGCAGUUUUGUUCAGAACAAGAAUUAAAGGAUUUAUUUGGAACGUUCCAGGGUUUCUGUAGAUUACGUAUGCAUAAUAAAGGUGGUUCUCCAGUAGCCUUCGUAGAAUUCCAGGAUUUAAGAACAGCAACAGAAGCCAUGGCAAGACUUCAAGGCUUUAUGCUCCUUUCAUCUGAUAGAGGGGGUAUACGCAUAGAGUACGCAAGAAAUAAAAUGGGAGAAGCGAUGUAUCAAAUGGCGUUGCCCCAAUCUUUAUAGCUGUGACAUCAGGAAUCUAAUACAGGACGAGCAAAUAUUUAUCUGUCUUAAGGGUAGAAAAGAUGAAUUCCCAAUUAUUCAUUCUCCAGUGGCCAUGGCAUUCUAAACAAAAACAAAGUACAUGUCAAGUAACAAUAUAUUGUAUUGUGAUAUGAAAACAAUCAAGAUUUUAUAAAAAUCAUGAAUUAAGUUUAUUGCGAUAUAAUUAAUAUAUUAUAAGUAUAUAUAUGUGAUUUAUUAUAAAUGUAUAGGUAUAUCUUAUUUCAUGAAUGAAUGCAAAAAAUAUUGAUUUUCGUUGUUUUUUUUAGUACAUGAAUAAUGCUUGAAUUAUUCCAAGAUACACAACUGAAACAUGGUUCUGAGAAAUCCAUUUGUAAUAUUGUUCUGUUCAAAUAUGUAAUUUAUAUAUAUAUAUAUAUAUCUGUUGUAUGUUUGUUAAAUUUUUUUGGUCCAGUUAUCCUCUGAAAUCUUUCAAUCCAUUAUUGUAUAUUUCUUUUUUUUCUUAUAUAUAAAAGUUUAUUAAUAAGUAUACUGUAUUUACAAAUAAUGUACAGGAAUAUGUUAUGGGAAGUGUCAUCGAAACCAAUUCUUCGCUUUCUUUGCAAAAUUCUUGUUGAUGCGGACUCCCCUCUUCAUCCUUUUAUGGCAGGCUGGUGUUACAUAAUUAGUGCUCUCGGCAGAAUUAUGAAAAAAUAUUAGAAGACAACCCCCCAAAUUUUAAUUUUGUUAUCUGGAGGCUCUAUAGUUUCAACUUCAAAUAAAUUUAGAUUUCUGGGCAUGACCAUCCUAUACAACAUUUACUCUUUUUAUUAUCCUGAGGUGUUGUUUUAAGAGAAUUUAAUACAACACAAAAACGUGAUAUAAACAUCAGUGUCUUAACUGACAAUUUUUUAAGUUCAAAAUAUUAUACAAAUAGCUUAAAGUAAGAAAAUGUUUAUUAACCCAAGUCUGGUAAAAUUCAUAAAACAUUGUUAAAAAUAAAACAUUUUUUUACAAUACAAACAUUCAUAGAUAUAAAAAAGAUAACCCAAACAACGCCUAGAUCAAGGGAGGAUACACUUCAGCUUCAGGAAUUUUCUGGUGUCUAUUUAAAACAAAAUUUCCGUCCAAGAAAAUGUACAUAUCGGAGUUUAAGUGUCAUCGAAAUCUUGACUUGACAUCUUUACUUGUGCCGUUUUCAAUCAUGGUGUAUUAAAUAUGACACAAAGUUAGAUUGGUUUUACCAAACUGUUGGUUAUUUUGUGUAAUUUGUAGAACUAGUGUAAAUUAUUAGUGUUUGAUUUCCAUUGUAGGAAAUUAUUAUUUUUUGUUAAAUUAUUAAUUUAAGAAAAUUUGAUAUGUGUUCUCAAUAUUUAUCCACUUUGAUCAUAGCUAUUGUUUGAAACUUUAUACUAUUUAUUGUAUUAUGUGUUCAAAGAGUCCGAUUAUAUGUAGGCUUACAGGUUAAUAUUCUGUGCGAAGUUUUUAUACUGCCCUUCCUGGUACAUGUAUUUCAACAAAUAGUCUUUAGAUAUGCAUUUAAUGUCAGUUAUUUGUAAAACAAUAGUGGGUAAAAUUCAGUUAAGACAUCACUCUAAAAAGCUUUCCUCAUGAACAAUAUUUCUCUGUAGCGAAGACCAUGAAAAAGAUAUGUACAUUAAGUGUGUAAGUGUUGUUAUGUUUUAUGAUAUAGUUAAAAAUAAAAAGAAAGAUUCUAUUUUAUGUAUAUAGACCAGUUUAAUUGUGUUACCAUUGGUUGCGAGGUUUCACCAAUCAACGACUUUGUACAGUCCUUAACAUUCCAAAAUAGUAGGUUCAUUAUUUCUGUUAUAUUUUGUUGCAAAUGUGUUUGAUAAAUUAUUUAUUAUUUUCGUCAGAAAGUUUCUGCUGAUCAAGCUUGAUAACUGGAUGACGUAGCAUUAUAUUAUCAUAAUAAUUAUGUAAAAUUAUUUUCAAUUGUUGGCCCGUAUGCACUAAGUUAUAUUUUAUGUCAUUCUUACGAAAAUCAAAAUUAUCGUCAUUAAUUCUAGUGUCAUAUAUUAAAUCUAUUAAUAAUUGAAAAACAAAAAGUAACUCUUAAAGAAGACCUACAUAACCAAAUUUUUGAUUCCUUGUAAUAAUCUAUAGAUGUAUAUAUUUAAUUAUUAUUGAUUAUAAACUUACAUAUACAUACAGGUCGGCCCUGUCGACUUGGCAAUAUUUAUUCCAAUAUGGAUGUUAUAUUAUUAUAAUUAUUGUAUUAUUAUUAUUAUUAUUAUGAAGUGCUCUAAUUUAUCUUUUCUGUUAAUGGACCGGAAUUCCAGUUUCAUAUAAUCAAAAUACAGGUGCAAAGUCUUGUUUAAAUUUCUAAGAUUUUUGCCUGGCUUAUACUAGCCAUUGUUAACUAGCUAGACUCGAAAUCUUAUUUCAUUUUUCUCAUUUUUUUUCUCUCAUUUUUUGUUUGUUUGGAAGUAGACUCAUGGAAUGCUGAAUUCUUAUUUAUUUUGUAUUGUUGGCUAUGAACAAAACUUGGUGAAUUUUGUGUGUUACUGUGCAACUGUUACAUUUGAACGAGAAAUGUGUUUCAUCAUGUUAGCCUGGGGCUUAUAUAUAUAUAUACAUAUUAUAUAUAUUGCUAUUCUUAUAAAUAGGUUAUUAUCUUAUAUAAGUUAACUUAUAUACCUUUCUAUGUAUCUUUCAUAAUUUGUUUCAUUGUUUUUCUUACAUUAGAAUAUGAUCGGUUAUGGUAUACAGAACCAUUGUUAUAGGUUCUGUUCUACACUGGUUACCACUGUACGGAAAACAUUUAUUUGUUUUUUUUUAGUAAAAAGUUGAUGUCUCUUGUUAGAAGCUAGUCCAUAUAUUUUGAUUUGUCCUGAAUUUUAAGGGAAUUGUCUCUAAAUACAAUGAAUAUAAUAAUGCCUUGAUUUAACAAACAAAAAAUAUGGUUGUGAUGGAUAUAAGGUAAAAAGAAAAGAAAAAAAAAACUUUACCUCAGAAAAUUAGCUAUGUUUAUUCUUAUAUCUUUUUUUUAAAAAUAUAUAACAUCUCCCCCCCCCCUCCCCCAAAUAGGGCGUGUAAAUAAAAUUACAAGGCUUUCAUAAACACUCUAGUUUGCUGCUUAAGCCUACUUUUGAGAAGAGGGUUGGAAUUUAAAUGACUACCAGAUGAUCAAUCUUAGGUACAGUGAAAAUUCUCUGGUGACACGAGUUUCUUAAGAUAGUUCUUCAAUCUUGGGAAGUAGCUUAGUUCAGUAAACCUUCCUCUUACCAGCUUAAGAUGUUGUCACUUGAAAUUUGGCAUUGUUUUCAUGUAGUUAGCCAAGUCUUUGUUAGAACAACUUACAUAAAUUAAUUUUAUAUAUAUAUAUAUGGGGCAUUUUUCUAAGAUGUAUAUGUAUAGAUAGAACUAUUACUAUAUUAAAUGUUUCUGCUAUUUCUUCUCCUUUUUGUGCAAUGAUCAGGUUUGCUCAAGGACUGAGUGUUUGUAGGAUCAUGUAAUCAUGAUGUCAUCAGCUAAUUAGCAUAAUAUUUUGUAUGUAUGUAUAUUGGUGCAUAUAUAUAUAUUUAUAUGUAUACAGACAAAAAGAAAAUCAACCCACUUAUUAUUUGUACAGACACAAAAACGGUACUGAUAUUAAAAUUAUUAAAUAGUUGCAUAUGCUACUCUAACUGUUGUGUACAUAGUUUUGUUUAAUGAUUUUGGGGGUCAAAGAACUGUGAUGUAUAUAGUAAAACAAAGAUUGGAGCUGAUGACCUCAUGAUUACCAUUUCUAUAUAGGGGUCGUUUUUUUUCUAGAUAGCUGGCAUAUUUUUUAUCUGGAAGUUAUUGUUCUCUACAUUUAAUAAAUUAGUAUCUCAAUUUC